AUAGAAAUAUUGUCUACAAAUAACAUUUUAGAUACCAUGUCUAUUGGUUCUGUAUUUCUUCCUAUCACGUAGAGAUCAUGCCUAUAGAGUUUCCUAAAUUCUUCAUAUGCAUAUGUCACUAGGCAGACAUACUUAUAGGUUUAAAUAACAAAUGACAUUUUUAGAUACCAUUCCUAUAGGACUUCUACACUCUUAUUUCGAAUAAAGAAAGUGUUUAGAGUCAAUAACACUUAGAAAGCAUGCCUAUAGGAGUAAUCGAUUCAUCUGAACCAACCAUUUUCUUAUGAGUUUAAAAUUAGUGGCAGCCUUUUCGAAAUAUCUGCAGAACUUACGUUCCUGUAGUUAAUAAAUCUUUUCUGAAAUCAGUAUACCUCUUUCCCAUAUUAUUAGAUAUCAUGUCUAUAGGUCUCAUUUAGGCAAGCUAUAUAGUAACUUAUAUAUCGAAUUAGAUUCUAUUAACUCCAGCCAGUAGGCAGGCCUGACUCGGGCUUCUCAUAUGAAAUAUGUAAUAGAUCAAUUCGCCUCAUUUCUUAAAUUUAAUCAGACCAUAACUAGUACAUGCGAGACAUGCUAAAGAAUCUUGUCUUUAAGUGAGGAGGCGUGCUUGAGCCUUUUGAACUAUUAUGUGCUUUCCCAAACUUGCUUUCUAUGUUUUGUUUGUAGCCCUAGAUUUUCUCCUUUAAACCAUAAAGCCCAGAUCUCCCCUUCAUUUAGGAUUAGUAGUCUCAUGUGCCUCCGGGACUGAUAGGACUAGGGACAGGUAGUAGCAUGCAAUAAGAAACGAGACCAUUCCGCAUUUUAAUACCUUAACGGUUUAGGAAAGGGUAGAUAUGGACAGGAUGACCGGUGCGCUAAUAUCACGUGUAGCCCCUCUUUUGAGGAGAGAUUACCGGGUAUUGCAUUGACGUAAUCCAUAUUAUUUAUAAACCUAGGACCCCCUUUCCCUUACUUUUUUAUCUUUCAGAAUAAAGAAAAUUGCUCAACUUUCAGC
rnacentral:lncRNA from 1 species